rnacentral:rRNA from 1 species
UGGGGAAUAUUGCACAAUGGGCGCAAGCCUGAUGCAGCCAUGCCGCGUGUGUGAAGAAGGCCUUCGGGUUGUAAAGCACUUUCAGCGAGGAGGAAGGUGGUGAGCUUAAUACGCUCAUCAAUUGACGUUACUCGCAGAAGAAGCACCGGCUAACUCCGUGCCAGCAGCCGCGGUAAUACGGAGGGUGCAAGCGUUAAUCGGAAUUACUGGGCGUAAAGCGCACGCAGGCGGUUUGUUAAGUCAGAUGUGAAAUCCCCGGGCUCAACCUGGGAACUGCAUUUGAAACUGGCAAGCUAGAGUCUCGUAGAGGGGGGUAGAAUUCCAGGUGUAGCGGUGAAAUGCGUAGAGAUCUGGAGGAAUACCGGUGGCGAAGGCGGCCCCCCUGGACGAAGACUGACGCUCAGGUGCGAAAGCGU